rnacentral:rRNA from 1 species
AGAUGGCGACCGGCGCACGGGUGAGUAACACGUAUCCAACCUGCCGAUAACUCGGGGAUAGCCUUUCGAAAGAAAGAUUAAUACCCGAUGGCAUAAUUAGACCGCAUGGUCUUAUUAUUAAAGAAUUUCGGUUAUCGAUGGGGAUGCGUUCCAUUAGGCAGUUGGUGAGGUAACGGCUCACCAAACCUUCGAUGGAUAGGGGUUCUGAGAGGAAGGCCCCCCACAUUGGAACUGAGACACGGUCCAA